AUGGACAAGUCCCUGAGCCUGCUCAUCCUUUGGUUACAACUAGACUGGGUGAGCAGUAAACAGCAUGUGAGUCAGAGCUCUGAAGUCCUGACCGUCCGAGAGGGAGGCAGCCUGGUUCUCAACUGCACUUACACCGACAGUGCCCUUUACUCCCUUCAGCGGUUUAGACAAGACCCUGGGAGAGGCUCACAUCUCUGCUGCUAAUUCAGGCGAAUCAGAGAGAACGAACUAGUGGGAGAAUUAAGGCCUCUUUGGAUAGAUUGUCAAGACAUAGCGCUCUCCACAUUGCAGCUGCUCGGCCCAGCGACUCGGCCACCUACCUCUGUGCUACCCCACCAGAAACAGUGAGCUGCCCUGCGCCCGGCGUGGGAGCUGAGAGGAGCCUGAGACCGCCCGCGGCCAGCCUUACCAGCCUCACCAGCCUCACCAGCCUCACCAGCCUCACCAGCCUUACCAGCCUCACCAGCCUUACCAGCCUCACCAGCCUCACCAGCCUCACCAGCCUCACCAGCCUCACCAGCCUUACCAAGCCAGACGGACGCUAUGACGACUCUCAGCAGCCCAGGGAACCGCAUGUUAAUAUAUGA